UACGUAGGGUGCAAGCGUUGUUCGGAUUUACUGGGCGUAAAGGGCGCGUAGGCGGUUUGUUAAGUUGGAUGUGAAAACUCUGGGCUUAACCCAGAGCCUGCAUCCAAAACUAGCAAGCUAGAGUUCUGGAGGGGAUAGCGGAAUUCCUGGUGUAGCGGUGAAAUGCGUAGAUAUCAGGAGGAACACCGGUGGCGAAGGCGGUUAUCUGGACAGAAACUGACGCUGAGGCGCGAAAGCUAGGGGAGCAAACAGG
rnacentral:rRNA from 1 species